GUUAAAUCCUGCUGCAAAGUCACUGGUGUGCUCCUCCGUAUCCAGGCCUCGUUCUACGAGCAAACUCUCAUCAUCUUGGGGGACGUCACCCAUCCCCUCCAUUCUCAGUUGAAGUCAUGCCACUGGGGUGGCGCCUGCGCUGCAUUAAGUGCUCUACUAACCGCCACAGAGCAACGUUUAUGCCAGAGGCCUAUUCAACAAGCUGGGACAAUGAUCAGGAUAUGGCGAUUUGUAGUUCAUGGUGGCAUUGACGGUUUUAGCCAUCUAAUCGUGUACCUCAGCGCCGCCACCAACAACCGGGCCUCAACGGUGAUGAACCGCUUCCUUGAAGCAGUCAACACCUAUGGAGUGCCAUCACGCGUUAGGUCUGACAAAGGAGGAGAAAAUGUUCAAGUGGCACACUUCAUGGUGUCCACCAGAGGUCUAAACAGGGAAUUCCCAUCUCACUGGUAGAAGUACACACAACCAGAGGAUAGAAGGACUGUGGAGGGAUGUCUUUGAGGGAGUGUUUGCCUUCUUCUAGACUUCUAUCUGCAACCCGGAGAGGGAGGGUGUACUCAACCUAGAUGAAGAGAUCCACAUCUAUACCCUGCACUGGAGCUGCCUUCCACAAAUCCAAAGGCACCUGCAGUUCUUCAAGGACGGCUGGAACCACCAUCGACUGCGCUCUGAGGGGAAUCAGUCACCACUGCAGCUAUGGAUUCAGAAUCAACGUGAGGGAUAUCAUGACCCGUCCAGGUUGACAUGGAAUACGGCCUUGACUGGGGAGGUCCUUAUGGUCACUAUCAUGAAGGAGUCACAGUCCCUGAGGUUCAGCUUCCACGGCCAUUGACUGACAUGGAAGUGCACACAUUGCCAGAUGCGCAAGGUUCUUUUUCCAACGUCUUAAAUGUCUAUAGUGAGACAGUUGCCAUAUUAUCAGAUAUAAUUGGAGAUGUUUAAAAGCCCGGGUCUGAGAAUUGAAUUGAUUUUAGUAUUUGGAUUGGUCAAACUAUCUCCAAGAGAAUUUCAAAUUCUGAUAGUUUCUAUGUAACAGCAAAUUCUGUUUGAGCUGUUUUGGCUGUUCUCACUGAGUCAUUCACACUGAGAGCAGGUCGGAGUCUGGGAGUCCCC
rnacentral:lncRNA from 1 species